AGAUGAUCAGUUGUCUCUGUCAAUUUGACAAAAAGUACAGGCAUUUUCUUCAAAAUUAAACCGUUGUCUUAAAAAUUCACUUGACGGGUAUACCCCAUUGAAUAUUUUAAAAUGAGUUUCCUUAAACAAUCAACUUUAUAUACCUGAGAUCCACCUGCAUGCGCUCAGCCAUGAUGUUUGAUCCGUGUCUCAAGCUAAUGACGUAACUUCCAGGGAGGCAUCACCGAGCCCGUUGUACACGCCCCAAUCCCCUGACUCCACCCCCACGUCAAAACAGUGCCAUAAAGUGAAACGAAGAGAAAAGUGAAGCGCAAAGGCAAAACGCCCCAGAAAUAGCUAUAGUUUACACAAUAUGUAACGUCACAUCAAAACAAGUCAAGAGUAAUCGAGCACACGCUUCAAUCUACAAUAAGCCAAUGACGACUGAAAAAGUUUGUGGCCACCCCGGAGUGUUCCAAAGAUGGCCGCCGAGUGGACAGACUUGCCUGUAGAGCUACUUUGAUAAAGGU